rnacentral:rRNA from 1 species
CUAAGAAUAUUCCGCAAUGGACGGAAGUCUGACGGAGCGACGCCGCGUGGAUGACGAAGGCCGAAAGGUUGUAAAGUUCUUUUGCUGGGGAAGAAUAACCGCAGGAGGGAAUGCCUGUGGGAUGACAAGAACCGGCGAAUAAGCCCCGGCCAACUACGUGCCAGCAGCCGCGGUAACACGUAGGGGGGCCGAGCGUUGUUCGGAAUUACUGGGCGUAAAGGGCAUGUAGGCGGCUUGGAAAGCCUGGCGUGAAAGUCUGCAGCUUAACUGCAGGGGUGCGCUGGGAACUGCUGAGCUUGAGUGACGGAGAGGGAGCUGGAAUUCCUGGUGUAGGGGUGAAAUCUGUAGAUAUCAGGAAGAACACCGAUGGCGAAGGCAAGCUCCUGGCCGAUGACUGACGCUGAGGUGCGAAAGUGUGGGGAUCAAACAGGAUUAGAUACCCUGGUAGUCCACACAGUCAACGAUGUGCACUAGGUGCUGGGGCGGUAGCUUCGGUGCCGGAGCGAACGUGGUAAGUGCACCGCCUGGGGAGUAUGCUCGCAAGGGUGAAACUUAAAUGAAUUGAC